GAUGAAGAACGUAGCGAAAUGCGAUAAGUAGUGUGAAUUGCAGAAUUCAGUGAAUCAUCGAAUCUUUGAACGCACAUUGCGCCCCUUGGUAUUCCAUGGGGCAUGCUUGUUCGAGCGUCAUUUGUACUCUCAAGCUUUGCUUGGUGUUGGGUGUUUGUCCUUGCCUUUGUGCUUGGACUCGCCUUAAAUUCAUUGGCAGCCAAUGUAUUGGUUUGAAGCGCAGCACAAUUUGCGGUUCUCACUGAUCAUCAUUAGCGUCCAUAAAGCACAAUUAACACUUUUGACCUCGGAUCAAGUAGGGAUACCCGCUGAACUUAAGCAUAUCAAUAAGCGGAGGA
rnacentral:misc_RNA from 1 species